CCCUUAGAUGUUCUGGGCUGCACGCGCGCUACACUGAUGCGAUCAACAAGUUUUUCCUAUGUCGAUAGACACGGGUAAUCUUUUGAACUCGCAUCGUGAUGGGGAUAGAUUAUUGUAAUUAUUAAUCUUCAACGAGGAAUUCCUAGUAGGUGCAAAUCAUCAGUUUGCAUCGAUUACGUCCCUGCCCUUUGUACACACCGCCCGUCGCUGCUACCGAUUGGUUGAUCUGGUGAAUUAUUCGGACUGCCGGCUGAAGGGGUUUCCUCAUCUGCCAGCGGAAAGUCUUGAUAACCCUAUCAACUAGAGGAAGCAGAAGUCGUAACA
rnacentral:rRNA from 1 species